rnacentral:lncRNA from 1 species
CUGUAAAUCUUUGGGGCACUCGGCUUCAGCUUGUCCAAAGGUCACUAGAAUAUGGAAGCAAAAGGAUAAAUCAGGGGUCCAGGAGGCCACUGCUGAGGAUAAGGAUCAUGAAUCUGAAGCUACUGAUAAAGAUAAAGGGGAGAAUGUCAAGGGUGCAGGUGCUGUUGUUAGUAAUAACUCUGAGAAUCCUAGCAUUGAAGUUGACUGUGACAGUCCUCUUGCUGCUUGGAUUGAAAUCAAACGGAAAAAAUCUGGCAAUAUAUCUGGAAACAAAUCUGACAGUUAUACCGAUACUGAAGCAUCACCAUCCCCUCUUGUAACUUUCAAGCAUUUAAAAUUGGUAGAUGAAUUUGCAGCAAUACAGGGUCCUAAAUCUGCUAACUUUCAAGCAUUUAAAAUUGGUAGAUGAAUUUGCAGCAAUACAGGGUCCUAAAUCUGCUAACUUUCAAGCAUUUAAAAUUGGUAGAUGAAUUUGCAGCAAUACAGGGUCCUAAAUCUGCUAAUCCUGGUACGCAAACUAAUUCAGUGAGACUUACUAAAUCUCAAAAGAAGAAGCUUAAGGCUUCAUUGGGGAAUAACUCCCCCUCUCUAUCUUAAUUUUUAUGAUAGAUUUUUGUUCCUACAAUAUCCGUGGGCUGCAUAAUAAAGUGUCUUUUGCAAAAGACUUUUUGAGCGUCAAUAAAUGUGGUCUUGCAGCCCUUUUGGAAACUCAUGUGAAAAAGGAAGACGUUGGUUUCUACUCUUCUGUCAUUGCUCCUAGAUUUAAAUGGUUGUUUAACUAUGAUUUUCACGAUAAUGGGAGAAUUUGGUUUGGUUGGGAUGAGAAUCUGUGGAAAGUCACUUUAGUUGCAUCAUCUGCUCAACAUAUUACUUGUGAGGUUCUGCAAACGGAUGGCCCUGUUCACUGUUUACUUACUAUGGUAUAUGCUUUUAAUGAUGAAGUUUUGAGAAGAUAUCUUUGGGCUGAUUUGGAGUCUUUGCAGCAGAAUUAUAGUGAGAAUAUGUUACCUUGGUGCUUGAUGGGGGAUUUUAACACCUUCAUGUAUUCUUUUGAAACUAAUGGACCUAUGCCUAGAAGGAGUAAUCAUAUUGAGGAAUUUAAGAGAUGCACUACUGAUCUGGGGCUUGUUGACCUGAGAUAUCAAGGCACUAUCUUUACCUGGUGGGAUGGAAAUACUACUGUGCCUGUCAUGAGGAAGUUGGAUAGGGUUCUGGUCAACUCUGAUUGGCUUGCUCGUUAUGAUCUCUCUCUAGCUGAAUUCCUUCCCAGAGGUCUAUCUGAUCAUAAUCCGGCAGUUGUUCAUCUGGGCAUCACUAGAGAUAUCAUCCGUAAACCUUUUCAACUGUUUAAGCAUAUUUUGGAUCAUGAUUUAUUUAUGCAGGUUGUUCAACAGGCCUGGGAUUCUCCUGUUCAGGGAAAUCUGUGGCACAUAUUAAUCACUAAGCUCAAGAGACUAAAAGAUUCUCUUAAAACUCUCAAUAGUGAAGGUGGCAAUCUGCAUGACAAUGUGGUGGCUGCAAGAACUGAACUUCUUGAUUUCCAGAAUGGCCUCCCCUCCAUUCCUUCACAGCCUCAGAGAAUUGAGGAGGGUCUUAAGAGUAAAAAAUUGCAGGAGGCUUUAUUAAUUGAAGAAAAAUUUCUCAAGCAAAAAUCAAAAGUGAGAUGGUUGCAACAUGGUGAUGAGAAUAAUAAAUUCUUUUUUAAUUCUUGCAGAGGCAGGUGGAACUCCAAUAAAUUGUUACAAAUUACUGAUGAUGAGGGCACUGUUCAUAUGGGGCACAGUAACAUUGCUAAUGUAGCAGUGUCUUAUUUUCAGAAGCUUCUUGGCAGCUCCUGCGAUGUUCAGGAGUUCAGUGACUGGCCUGAAAUGCAAGGGAUUAAUAAACUUUCUGAAGGAGAGCAACAUGAGCUGAUCAAUCCAUUUACUACUGCUGAUGUCUUGGCUACCUUUAAAGCAAUGGCCAAGGGUAAAAGUCCAGGCCCUGAUGGCUAUUCUCCUGAAUUUUUUGUGAAAGCCUGGAAGAUUGUAGGACAUGAUACUACUGCUGCAAUCCUUCACUUCUUUGAAACUGGUCAGUUGCCUCGUAUGAUUAACUCUUCUGCUAUUUCUUUGAUUCCCAAACAGUCAAAUGCUUCGCACUUGAGUCAUUAUAGGCCUAUAUCUUGCUGCACAGCCAUAUACAAGUGUAUUGGGAAAUUGAUUGCUCACAGAAUGAGUAAGGUUAUGUGUUCUCUUGUUUCCUUAAAUCAGUGUGCAUUUGUUCCUACAAGAAGUCUAGGUGACAAUGUUUUCCUGGCCCAAGCUUUAUGUAGAAAUUAUCAUCUAAACUAUGGAUCUCCGCGUUUUGCUUGCAAGUUGGAUAUUCGUAAAGCUUUUGACACUCUUAAUUGGGCAUUUAUUCUUCAACUUCUUGCUACUAUGAAUUUUCCUGAGAAAUUUAUCAAGUGGAUAAAAGUAUGCAUUACUUCUUGUAUGUAUUCAAUAAAAGUUAACGCAGCUUUAGAGGGUUAUUUUGCUGCUGCUGCUGGUAUUAGGCAAGGGGACCCUAUCAGUCCUUAUUUGUUUGUUUUGGCUAUGGAAGCUCUUAAUGUUUGCUUUACUAAAGUCAUUGUGGGCUCUAAAUUUUCUUAUCAUUGGCGUUGUGGGGAUUUGAAGCUUACUCAUCUUGUUUUUGCGGAUGAUUUACUUCUUUUCUGCAAAGGUAAUCAGCCCUCUAUUGCUUUGUUGCUUGAAGCCAUAAAUCUGUUCUCUAGCAUUUCUGGCCUAAAGUUAAAUACCGCCAAAUGUGUGUGCUUCUUUGGAAAUGUUUCUACUGAAGUCAAAAAUUAUGCAUUGACUCAGUCUGGUUUCACAGAAGGUAAUUUGCCAAUCACUUAUCUGGGCCUUCCUUUAACCUCUCGUAAUCUGAAUGCUAGAGACUGCAUGCCGUUAAUACACAAAAUUUGCAAGCGUGUUGAUUUAUGGACCUGUAAAUUUUUGAGCCAAGCUGGUAGGCUCCAACUGAUCAAAUCAAUCUUGUUUGGUAUUCAAGGUUUCUGGGUUAGAUUUUUGUUUUUACCAACUCAAGUCGAAAAAAGAAUCCAGAGCAUCCUUGCUAGAUUCUUUUGAAAGAGCGAUUGUGGACCAGGGACCGUAUGUUAUCCUUUUGCAUGAAUAUUGAUCGUGGCUGCCUUCUUUGUACAGGAUUCUUUGAGACUCAUUCUCACUUGUUUUGUGAAUGUCAUUAUUCUAGAACUAUUUUGAAUGCAUGUCCUAUUGCUGUUAGCACUGUCUGGACAGAUAUUUGUGCCGGAGGAAUUCUGGUGAACCAAGUGGAUACUAUUCGUGAUAAUAUUGCAUACCUGUAUGUGGCAGUAGCUUAUUAUCACAUUUGGGCUGAAAGGAAUCUACGUCUUCAUAGUCCUGGCCAAUAUAAUCAGCCUAUUAUUCUAAUCAGAAGAAUCAAGGAUGUUGUCAGAAGCAAGUUGGUUGUUAGUAAAUUAUUUACUCGGUUUGCUAGACAAGAUUUUACUUUAAAUAGUUUUCUCUAGUUCUUCUGUUAUCUAGUCUUUGGCUAUUUGAAUCUAGGAGUGUUAGCUUUUAUCUCUUUGUGACAGUUUGAGUUUCUCCCGCGGGGUAUGCCCCUAGAUUUGUAAUCUGUUUGUUUCUUUAAUAUAUUUAAUUAGCAA